CUGAUAGUGGAAGCAGCUUGCUUCUAAUUAAAUAUGCCACUGAGUCUCAGAGCAUUUGCUUUCAGCAGCAGAGAGGAGAGGCUGCCCAAGAAUGGGAAGGAAGAGAUAUAUCACAUAAUCUGUUUGUCCACAGUCUUUCCUUGGGGUUUACGAAGCCUGAAUGGGAAUUUUUCACCCUGCUAUUAUAUUCUAUUCAGCAAACAAAAACGUGUCAACUAAGUAAGAUGUGAGUGCAGCACAGAAAACAUGGAGAUGCACAACCCAGGAAGAGGGCAUGUACAGAGACUAAGCACACCAAACCAUAUCUUAUAAGGGUAUCUUCUCUACCUGGUAUCUCGGCUCUUAAGAAAGGACUAAGAUGUUCUUCUUGAACGAUUGAAAAUAACUGUGGAUCACUGCUUUACCAACUAUCCUUGGAACAUGUCUAAACAUUCUAAACUAUGGACAUUACACUUUUAGAACUGUACCGAACAUCCACUGGACUCCAUGCCGCGGUAUUCUCCAAAAUUAUUAUUUGCGGAAGCUGGUAUGCCAACUUAUACCCAGAACAUUGUAUAAUGCAAACAUAGCCUAAUAUGAUCAGUUCACAUGCCUGUUUAUAGCUUUCUACCGAUCUACCUGGCAAUAUAACCAGAGAUAAUCUCAGAACAUGCGUUUAUGGCUUUAGACCUGGACAUCUUGAUUAUAUUGGCCCCAAUGGUUGUUCCUCAGAGAAAGACUGGUUUCAUGGGAGUAUGGGCCAAGUGAAAACUAUUGACCGGACAAGCCAUUAGAUAAGUUUUUGAAGCAGUUCACGCUGUUGAUAAAACAACUGGAAUGGACUACUUCAGUCUCCAAAUAGAAAAUGUUAUUCAGCUGGUAAUGAGACGUGCAAAUUGCCCUUUUUAAGUUUUUCUUUUAUAUAUUUUUUUUGUAUUCAUAUUCCAGACGCCCUUCUGUAGAUGUCACUUUGAGUAGUGAAAAGGGAAAGCUUUGCCUGCAUCCUGCCUGGCUGGGGGGAGGUUGAUUCUGUUUUAUGUGGAUAAUUAUUUUAACCUUUAUAACACAUCCAGACCUGGUAGGUCUAGUUUCUUGCAUUUACCCUGACAUUUACAUCUCAUUUGUACAGUUGUAGCACAACGCUCUGCUGCCAUGUCAGUUCAUGGUCACAGGGGUCUCUAACAUUUCUACCACCCCACAAUCCACAGUCUAAAAUGCUAUUAUUAAGACCUAUGAUGCCUAAAAAUGAGAUUGCAUGGUUAUGACUAGAGUGCUGUAGCCUUAAAUAGUCCUCCAACUGUUUUGAAUGCUAUUAUUAAGUGUCCUGGGGAAAUGCAAAAAUUACCCAGUGAUCCCCAGACUUAAUUUUAUUUAAGCCUUCUGCAGAGUUUAGAGGUCUGUAAUAUAUUCAUUGGACACAGACUCUGGCUUUUAAAAUGCAUGUAUUUUUGUUACAGUUUGGAAACACAUUUUUGCCUAAUGUAUAUAUACGCAAUACUCAUUUUAACACCUCUCA